rnacentral:lncRNA from 1 species
AUGGAGGUGAGAAGACAGCAGAAGAGCAUCUUUAAAGUGCUGGAAGAAAAAGAGCUGUCGAGCCAGAAUUCAACAUUGAGCAAAAACAUCCUUCAGGAAUGAAAGCAAAAUAAAGACAUUCUCAGCGACGGAAACUAGGAGAAUUUAUCAUCCGUAGUCCUGCUCUAAAAGAAUGCUAAAGAAAGUUCUUCAGGCUGAAAGGAUAUGAUCCCAGAGAGAAACUUGGAACUUCAGGAAAUAAGAAGAGCAACAAAAAGCUCCCAAGCACAGCUUGAGUGCGACUGGCAUUACAGAGAUGCGGAAACCGAGGCCAUGGGAGAACCG